CUUAAAAAAGGUUAAUAUAGGAAGCACUAGCAGCUUGGGACUGACAUGAAAGAGGUACAGAAGGCCUGCGAUAGAUUCACCCAGAAACAGACCUGCUACCCAGUCACAGCUACUGAUCAGUGACAAAGAUGUCUGCCAGGAAACUUACAGGAGAGAACAGCAUCUAUGCCAGAGGACUCUCUGGAGGCUCAGGGAUGGAGCUAGGUUGCCAUUUUUCGUAAUGUACAAAGAUAAUUGAAAAUAGAUCAGAGGUCUUAAUGUAAGAUCUGAUCUGUUAGAGGACAACAUAGGGCAGUCACCUCGCUACAGUCAUAGGAUUUUCUGGAAAGGCAGCAAUAUCAACAGUUGGAAGAUGGGAUUGGAUAAGAUUAAAAAGUUCUGCACAACAGAGAAAACAUGAAGAAGAUCGUGUAUAGAACGGGGGAAACUUUUUCUGUCUAUACAUCUGACAGGAUUAAUAUCUACAGUAUAGUUUUAAAAAGUAAAAUAUCGGGGGCUGGUGAGAUGGCUCAGUGGAUAAGAGCACCCGACUGUUCUUCCGAAGGUCCAGAGUUCAAAUCCCAGCAACCACAUGGUGGCUCACAACCAUCUGUAACAAAGUCUGACGCCCUCUUCUGGUGUGUCUGAAACAGCUACAGUGUGCUUACAUGUAAUAAAUAAAAAAUAAAAAAAAAAAAAAAAAAAAAAAAAAAAAAGUAAAAUAUCAGACAGCCCAAUCAAAGAUGCAGCACUGAACAGGCAGUUCUCAGAUGAAGUACACAUCACCCACAAAUGACUGGGAACAUGUGCAGCGUCCUUAGCUCUGGAGGAGAAGCAGCCACAGAUGCCUGUGAGGACAGAGCUCACACACACUACCUGUAAAAUGUAAACUGCAGUCACCAUGGAAGUUCCUUAAAAAAAACAAACCUAAGAGUAGAAAUACCAUAAGAUCUAGCUAUGCCACGUUAAGUACCAGAAGGACUCCAUUGUGAUAUAUCCGAGGAGAUACCUGUACACACAUGACCACAUUAUGUGGCCAGACUGCAUACCUGUGGGCAGAUAAAUAGAAAAUGCAGUAUUUAUAUAUACACGCUGGAACGCUGUUCAGCCGCAAAGAAGUAUAAAACUCUGCAUUUGCUGGGAAAGAGAUGUGACUGAGAUCAUCCUAUUCAGUGAGGUGAGGCAGAUGCAGGAAGACAAAUAUCGUUAGGGUUUGUUUUGUUUCUUGUUUCGUUUUACAUUUUUGGGUCCUAGAAUUCCUUAAUGAUAUAUAAAAUUACACACAGAGACUGUCC
rnacentral:lncRNA from 1 species